UACGUAGGGGGCAAGCGUUGUCCGGAAUCAUUGGGCGUAAAGAGCGCGUAGGCGGUCCGGUAAGUCCGCUCUGAAAGUCCGGGGCUCAACCCCGGGAGGCGGGCGGAUACUGUCGGGCUAGAGUCCGGAAGAGGCGAGUGGAAUUCCCGGUGUAGCGGUGGAAUGCGCAGAUAUCGGGAGGAACACCCGUGGCGAAGGCGGCACUCUGGGACGGUACUGACGCUGAGACGCGAAAGCGUGGGGAGCAAACAGG
rnacentral:rRNA from 1 species